UCAUUAUCAACCAUCAAGCCUGGCUUGUCGUUGGACCUUUUCCCGUGAGGCAACAGGUCUAAAGAUAGUGAACGGUGUCAUGGUGACCCUACAUGCAACGAGCUUUUGAUAGCACGCAUUUAGUGGUUGGCAGGCCCGCUCUGAACCCUUUUUAUUCUCAGGUUGACCUCGGAUCAGGUAGGAAUACCCGCUGAACUUAA
rnacentral:misc_RNA from 1 species